rnacentral:rRNA from 1 species
UACGUAGGGGGCAAGCGUUGUCCGGAAUCAUUGGGCGUAAAGAGCGUGUAGGCGGCCUGGUAAGUCCGCUGUGAAAGUCCAGGGCUCAACCCUGGAAAGCCGGUGGAUACUGUCGGGCUAGAGUCCGGAAGAGGCAAGUGGAAUUCCUGGUGUAGCGGUGAAAUGCGCAGAUAUCAGGAGGAACACCGAUGGCGAAGGCAGCUUGCUGGGACGGUACUGACGCUGAGACGCGAAAGCGUGGGGAGCAAACAGG